rnacentral:rRNA from 1 species
UUAUUUGAGAGUUUGAUCCUGGCUCAGGAUGAACGCUGGCGGCGUGCCUAACACAUGCAAGUUGAGCGAUUUACUUCGGUAAAGAGCGGCGGACGGGUGAGUAACGCGUGGGUAACCUACCCUGUACACACGGAUAACAUACCGAAAGGUAUGCUAAUACGGGAUAAUAUAUUUGAGAGGCAUCUCUUAAAUAUCAAAGGUGAGCCAGUACAGGAUGGACCCGCGUCUGAUUAGCUAGUUGGUAAGGUAACGGCUUACCAAGGCGACGAUCAGUAGC